rnacentral:rRNA from 1 species
UACGUAGGGUGCAGGCGUUAAUCGGAAUUACUGGGCGUAAAGCGUGCGCAGGCGGUUUGCUAAGACAGGUGUGAAAUCCCCGGGCUUAACCUGGGAACUGCGCUUGUAACUGGCAAGCUAGAGUGUGGCAGAGGGGGGUGGAAUUCCAGGUGUAGCAGUGAAAUGCGUAGAGAUGUGGAGGAACACCGAUGGCGAAGGCAGCCCCCUGGGUCAAGAUUGACGCUCAUGCACGAAAGCGUGGGGGGCAAACAGG